rnacentral:piRNA from 1 species
UAGAUGCCGUGUCUUGGCCUCUCCCCUGGU